AGGUCAAGCAAUAAGGGCACAGGGCGGAUGCCUUGGCACUAAGAGCCGAUGAAAGACGUGAUAAGCUGCGAAAAGCUUCGGGGAGGAGCAAAUAUCCCGUGAUCCGGAGAUGUCUGAAUGGGGAAACCCGCAUGAGCAGACCUCAUGCAUCCAUACGCCAAUCCAUAACGUAUGGAAGGGAACCCGGGGAACUGAAACAUCUAAGUACCCGGAGGAAAAGAAAGAAACAUCGAUUCCGUAAGUAGCGGCGAGCGAACGCGGAGGAGCCUAAACCGGUGUGCGUGCAUGCCGGGGUCAUGGACUGCAUUUAAGAUUCAGCGAAGUUAACAGAACGGUUUUGGGAAAGCCGGCCGGAGAGGGUGAAAGCCCCGUACGUGAAAGCAGAGCUGACUGAGCAGGAUCCGGAGUACCACGAGACACGAGGAACCUUGUGGGAAGUAAGGGGGACCACCCCCUAAGGCUAAAUACUACUUAGUGACCGAUAGCGCAUAGUACUGUGAAGGAAAGGUGAAAAGGACCCCGGGAGGGGAGUGAAAGAGAACCUGAAACCCUGUGUCUACAAGCUGUGGAAGUACUUUAUAUGUACGACCGCGUACUUUUUGUAGAACGGUCCGGCGAGUUACGCUUACUGGCAAGGUUAAGCACUUCAGGUGUGGAGCCGUAGGGAAACCAAGUCUUAAUAGGGCCAGAGUCAGUAGGAGUAGACCCGAAACCGGGUGAUCUAUCCAUGUCCAGGUUGAAGCUGCCGUAAGAGGUAGUGGAGGACCGAACCCACAUCCGUUGAAAAGGGUGGGGAUGAGGUGUGGAUAGGGGAGAAAUUCCAAUCGAACCCGGAGAUAGCUGGUUCUCCUCGAAAUAGCUUUAGGGCUAGCCUCGGUGUGAGUCUUGCGGAGGUAGAGCACUGAAUUUCCUAGGGGGCGUCAAAGCCUACCGAAGAAUAUCAAACUCCGAAUGCCGUGUAGAUAUCACCGGGAGUCAGACUGCACGAGAUAAGUUGGGCGGUCAAAAGGGAAAGAGCCCAGACCUACAGUUAAGGUCCCAAAGUGCGCGUUAAGUGGAAAAGGAUGUGGGAUUUCGAAGACAACCAGGAUGUUGGCUCAGAAGCAGCCAUACAUUCAAAGAGUGCGUAAUAGCUCACUGGUCGAGAGGUCCUGCGCCGAAAAUGUCCGGGGCUGAAACGCGCCACCGAAACUAAGGAAUCUGAAAAGAUUGGUAGAGGAGCAUUGCAUGCGGGAAGAAGCAGUACCGGAAGGAGCUGUGGACUGCAUGGAAGAGAGAAUGCCGGAAUGAGUAGCGAGAUAGAGGUGGGAAUCCUCUAGGCCGAAUAUCCAAGGUUUCCAGGGUAAAGCUGAUCUGCCCUGGGUGAGUCGGGACCUAAGGUGAGGGCGAGAGCCGUAGCCGAUGGACAACAGGUUGAUAUUCCUGUACUGCAGUAUGACAGAACUGUGGGGACACGUAAGGAGAGCGGGAGCCGGGAAUGGAAAGCCCGGUACAAGCGAGGUACCAGUCACAUAGGAAAAUCCGUGUGGCAAUGGGAAGACGUGAUGUGGAGCGAAGAUUAGUAGCGAAGCCCGUGAGCCAUGCGUCAAGAAAAGCCGCUAUCGUUCAUAUUGUACCCGUACCGUAAACCGACACAGGUGGAUGAGGAGAGAAUCCUAAGGCCGGCGGAAGAAGUAUUGCCAAGGAACUCGGCAAAAUGGCCCCGUAACUUAGGGAGAAGGGGUGCCUGCGAGAGCAGGCCGCAGAGAAUAGGCUCAAGCAACUGUUUAGCAAAAACACAGGUCUAUGCGAAACCGAAAGGUGAGGUAUAUGGGCUGACGCCUGCCCGGUGCUGGAAGGUUAAGAGGAGAGGUUAGACGUAAGUCGAAGCUUUGAAUUUAAGCCCCAGUAAACGGCGGCCGUAACUAUAACGGUCCUAAGGUAGCGAAAUUCCUUGUCGGGUAAGUUCCGACCCGCACGAAAGGCGUAAUGAUUUGAGCGCUGUCUCGGCAAUACAUCCGGUGAAAUUGAAGUGCCAGUGAAGAUGCUGGCUACCCGCGCCAGGACGGAAAGACCCCAUGGAGCUUUACUCCAGUUUGGCACUGGGGUCCGGUGUUGCAUGUACAGGAUAGGUGGGAGGCUGAGAAACGGUAACGUCAGUUGCCGCGGAGCCGCUGUUGGGAUACCACCCUUGUGAUAUUGGGCUUCUAACCAGCCGCCGUAAUCCGGCGGUGGGACAAUGCCAGGCGGGGAGUUUGACUGGGGCGGUCGCCUCCGAAAGGGUAUCGGAGGCGCCCAAAGGUUCCCUCAGAAUGGACGGAAACCAUUCGAAGAGUGCAAAGGCAGAAGGGAGCUUGACUGC
rnacentral:rRNA from 1 species